AUGUGGGAGGAGAGUUCUGGGGUCGCGGCAUCGACAGGGUAGCACGUGGGUCCCGCGUGGUUGGGACUGGGCACGAGGAGGCCUUGGUACUGGUGCUGGAUCAGCUGGGCCAGGGGCCGCACACCAGUGACCUGGCGGUGGGGGUGGCCCUGGGUGGGAGCUGGUGGUGCUGAGGUGGCCAAGGACUUGUCCACUCCCAAGGGAAGGCGCUGGUGGGAGGAGGUGCUGCCCCCGCAGCCGCCAACCUCGAUGUUGACCUGGGUUGGGCUGGCACCUCAUUGGGCAUGGGACCCCGAGAGUCCAAAAUUGGGUGGAGACAUCUGGGGACACAGCUGCCUGAAUUCCUCAUGGCCAAGGGGGUGGGCAAGGGCUGCAGGGAGGAAGAGUGUACCCUGUUCCGGCCAGUGCACCAGGAACAGCUUUCUAACCUGGGCAGGAAGGCGUGAAGCAUUCGGGAUGUGGGGGGGCACAUAGUUCCCAGUGUGCGCCCCGGGGUGACCAGGAAAAGGAGAGGCGCCAGGGCUUCCCCUACCCUAGCCCGAGGAGGACUCCCUAGCCAGGAUCCAGCAGAUCCUGGCUAGGAAACGCCAGUGAACCAUAGCGCCAGGGAACACGACCAGGCCGCCGGCUCCGCCCACCGCUGCGUUCUUGGGGGACUGGGGGUGGCCCUUGGGACUGCUGUGGAGCCUGGGCCUGACCCACUGACUAGGCUGAGCCGGGAGACUGGAGAGUCGCAUCCGGAGCUGGGCCCGGGGACGCCCGCUGGCGGGAGGGGUGCGCGCGAGUCGGAGGCCGCGGCUGACCCUGCUCCGGUGCCGCCAGGUACCGCAUCAGCCCGGACAGCAUCAUCCUGUACCGGCAGAGCAUCGGCACGGUGCCCACCGUGGACCUGGCCUCGCGCUACAAGUCCGCCGCGGUGGUGCUGCACUCGCCGCUCACCUUGGACCUGAGCGUCGCCUUCCCGACACCAAGAAGACCUACUGCUUCGACGCCUUCCCCAAAAUCCAGAAGGUGUCCAAGAUCACGUCGCCCGUGCUCAUCAUCCACGGCACGAAAGACGAGGUGAUCGACUUCUCGCAGGGGCUGGCGCUCUAGGAGCGCUGCCCCAAGGCCGUGGAGCCGCUGUGGGUGGAGGGCGCCGGGCACAAAGACAUCCAGCUCUACAGCCAGUACCUGGAGCGCCUGCGCCGCUUCAUCUCCCAGGAGCUGCCCAGCCAGAGCGCCUAGCGGCCGCCGGGGCCCCAACCGGCCGGACCUCAGCAAUAAGGCGGCCCCCGGACCUCACCCCGCACUGGCCUCCCGGGGGCUGCAUGUGGACCCCCGGGUGGCCCGGGGGACCCCGCCCGGAUCCAGGGGCCGUGGACGGUGUACAGGCAACAGAGCUACCCACUCCUUUCCUUUUGGAAGCAAGAAGAAAUAUGUGAAAACGGAAAUUAAAGAUUAAAAAUUUUUUUAAAAAAAACGUUUAUUAAUAUACUCCAAAGUUGUGGGGUUUUUUUGUUUGUUUGUUUGUUUGUUUUUUUGAAAUGGAGUCUCACUCUGUCGCCCAGGCUGGAGUGCAGUGGCGCGAUCUCAGCUCACUGCAACCUCCACCUCCCAGGUUCAAGCGAUUCUCCUGCCUCAGCCUCCCGAGUAGCUGGGACUACAGGCGCGUGCCACCAUGCCCAGCUAAUUUUUUGUAUUUUUAGUAGUUACGGGGUUUCACCGUGUUAGCCAGGAUGGUCUCCAUCUCCCGACCUCGUGAUCCGCCCUCUUGGCCUCCCAAAGUGCUAGGAUUACAGGCGUGAGCCACCGUGCCCAGCCGUUUUGCACAGAUUUUUUAAUGCAGAAUCAUGUUGGCAAUGGGUAAUGGCUACCAAGGUGCCAUCGUUCCACAUUCCUGUUAUUCAGUCAUCACAUCUACUAUGUGUGAGCCAUAAUAUCUUCUAAAAUGAAUUAUAACUAUGUUCGAAUUGUUAUUUCACUAAGUAAUCUCUGCUAGUUUAGUCUCUAUUUCAUCUCAACGGAAUGCCUUCUGAGUUCCUAUAAUUGUGACUAAUUCUCUGAGACAACAUCAGCAGUAUCACUAUAAACUAUGAAACCUACAAAGGGAAUUUCCUCUUUUUCCUUUUUAUUAUAGAGAUGCUUUUUUGUUUGUUUUCUGCAAGCAAGCACAGUCUUAAUCAAUUUUGUAUGCCCAUACCUAGGAGAGCCCCUGAUUCAUAAUAAGACCUCAAUAAGAUUUGUUGAAUAAAGUGAAAAUAGGAUUUUCAGCUUUCCCUCACCACUUUCUUCAAAACAGACUAGUUCAUAACUGAAAUAGGCAUUGUUUCUAGAAAACGGUCACUCCAGCUGAUCCCCUCGUUUAAUCAUUUUUGUACUCCCUGAAUCUAUGAUGAUACCUGCACAUAGUGGGUAAGUAAUCAAUAUUUGUUCACUGAACUAAUGGAAGGAUGAGUGAAUGAAACAAUACAGGCAUUUUAAAAUUAUAAUUCAAAAUUAACAUAUUACUUGUUAUUAGAGUGAUUUUAAACAGUUAUGUUAAGUAUAUGAUAA
ensembl:lincRNA